rnacentral:lncRNA from 1 species
GACAGACCCGGCCCAGAUCCAAGUUACCUACCCUCUUGAUCUAAAAAUACGUUCUUUUUUUUCUUGGGAUAAACGCAAGUAGAUGAAGGCACAUGCCUUACGACAGGUCCGAGCGUCAAUUUCUCCAAAUUAUCUCCAUCUCGACCGUCCAAUCGCCUAGAUCCCCUAUACUGCUGCUUGCUAAAUAAAAAAAACCUCUUCGUAUUUCAGUUACCUCCUAGCCAAAAUCAUCUUCAGAAAUUCGCCUCGAAAAGAUGACAACCAUGGCGACCAAGCCAAAAAUCCAUCACAACUCGCCAGAAAAUCAAACACAAAUCCACACACAAGUGGACAUUUGCAAUCU